AGGCCCUCCUUUCCCUGCUGGGGGCGGCGGUGGCGGCGCAGCGGCAGCGGGCUGACGAGGUGGCGGCGGGGCAAGGCGCCGAGCGGCACCUGCGGGCGCUGGGCCUGGCGGCCGUGGGCCACGGGGAGCCGCUGCCGGAGCUGUUCCGGGACCCCGGCUACGCGCGGGCAACGCACUUCCGGCUCUGCACCCUGCAGGUACCCCGAAGCGCAAAGAUUUAACCCAAAAUUACACGGACGUGCCCCGAAGUGAGACCAAGUGACAGGAAUUCGGCCCUAAGUAGCACGAAUGUGGCCCAAAGGGACACAAAGUGACAGAAAAUUGGCCCUAAAUGGCAGAAAUGGGGCCCUAAAUGGCAGAAAUGGGGCCCUAAAUAGCACGAAUGUGGCCCAAAGUGACCUCAAAUGACAGAAAUUUGGCCCUAAAUGGCAGAAAUGUGGCCCUAAAAUUACAGAAAUUUGGCCCUAAAUAGCACAAAUAUGGCCCAAAGUGACCCAAAAUGACAGAAAUUUUGCCCUAAAUAGCACAAAUGUGGCCCAAAGUGAC